rnacentral:sRNA from 1 species
UUAUAAAGAAAAAGUUUCAUACUUGGAAAUUUUUUUUAUACAUUAUUCUAGAACAUUUAUUAAUCACUUAUACUAAUUAUCAUACAAUCUAAAAAACAAUUGAACAUAUUAUACUCAUCAAUUCAAAAAACACUUCUUACAUUAUAUGGUAUGCAUUGUAUCAUGUUGGACCAUCUUGAUAUAAACAUGGCAAAACGCAUAUAUUUGGAAAAUUAUAUAACUAAAACAUGAUAUCUUAUUAUUAAACAUAUUAUAUCAUCUGUCCAACUAAAAGUUAAUUCCCUUAAUGAAGUCCAACUCUAAAUACUAAAACUUUCACAAAGUACAAAUAAAUUGAGUACGGGACAACUGAAUAACUUAUGACAUAACUAUGGCUAAUGCGCAGUAUUUUGUCUGGGCCCGCAUUCCACUUUUAUUAUCAUAAUAACUAUUGUGUGUUCACACUAUGCGUUCACACUAUGUGUUCACACUAUGUAUUUCAAUUUCAAUUCAAAAAAUCUUUCUCAUCUCAUUAAAUUACAAACUUUUCUCUCUCUUUCUUUAUUUCUUUCUUCUCCUUUCUUCUCUCGAAAAGUUUUCUUCUCUCCUUCUCUCUUCUCUGACGACGAACCUCCGCCGACGAACAACACAACGAACCUCCGCCGACGAACAACACGACGAACCUCCGCCGACGCCGAAUCUUUCGCAUCAGCCGCCUUGUCCAAGUUCAUUGGUAAGUUUUGGGUUGGAUAGAAAAUAAAUUAGGGUUUUGAUUUUCCCCCAAUUCCAUUGAAUUAUGGGUUGCAAAGGAAUUAGAGUUGCCGUUUAUGAUAAUUUGAUAUCUAGGGGUUGGAUUUUGGAUUUUCUUAAAGAUCUAGGGUUUGGAUGUUAGGGUUUAUAUUUUGGAAUUUAUCCCCUUUUGAUUUUCAUGUGUUUGGCUAUGUAGCAAAUAAUGCGGCUUAGUUAUUGUCACCUUCUUCAUCAGAGGAACGAUCCGAUGAUCCUUCCAAGUACGAUGGUGAUUUUGGUGUUCCCCAAAUCUGUUUUUGUGGUAAACAGCUUGAGCUUGUAGAACGUCUUAUUGGCGAUCAAAAGAAGACAUUUCUCAAAUGUCCGAUGAGUGGUCAAGAUGAUAAUUAUCACGUAGACAAGGGUUGGGAUGUUGUAGUUCACGAGCAGUGCUUUUGCAUCGACAAACGAUUUGGCGAGCACAGGGAAUUGAUCCAAACGCAUUCAAAUUUGGAGGUGAUAGUAAUCGUCUGCUGGUUUCCUCCUCAGUAAAGGAUAUCUCGGGACAAUCAGUUUGACCCGUUUUUGGUUUCUUUGCGAUCGGAGUGACAGUUCUUCUCUCAUGCUGCUUUAUCGCGCUAAUAGAAUCACGAAAAAGUUUUGAACCUCCCAUAAUCACUUUGACCAUUUUCUUCGGCCCUUUAGGAAUUACAAGGGCUGGGUCACGUUUCUGUUUCUUGCUCGGAGGUGAAGCUUCCUCUGAUUCUAAUGUUUCGUUCGCGGUCUGAGCCAAUUCGAUCGGUGUGAUGUCAAAUUCGGAAAUUUCUCCUGACGCGUACUUCGCCGCUAACAAUCUGCCCAAAGCUUUGCAGUCCUUGGUUGCAUGACCAUUCAUCUUAUGAAUAUCACAGUACGCAUUCAGAUCUUGGACCCAUUUGUUACUCGGAAAAGCGCCGUUUUUGCCCUUAGGAGAGAAAGGUGGUUUGGACGGUGAAGCUUUAGGAGAGGACUUCGAUGAUUCUUUCUCAACGGAAAAAGUUCCUGCUGUAGGUUUUCAGGGCUCGGCGGGUUUUUUGGUGGUUACGGGUUGAGGCGCCUUUGGUGCAACAUUUGAAGCACUGAACUUUUUGGCUAGAAAAGCUCGUUCUUCUUCUGCGUUUAUCCAGUUCGUUGCUCAAUGAAGUGCAUCUUGAAUCGUCUCAGGCCGGUUUACUGUCAAAGACUCGCGGAAGCGUGACUCAUGCCAAAGACCAUUUUUUAGCGCGAAUUGAGCAGUUGAGUCAGAUAAGCUAGGUAUUUGAACCAUGAUCUCUUUGAACACAAUAAUAUACGUCCGAAGUGGGUCAUCUGCGGAUUGAGAAAGAUUCCAAAGAUGGGCUUCAGUGAUGUCACUCUUAAUGAAGUAUCCGUACUGCUUAAUGAACGCAGUAGAGAGUUGCUUGAAAUUGUCAAUCGAGCCUUCUUCCAGUUGGGUAAACCAGGUGAGAGCGGGUCCUGACAAAUUUUCCGAGAACAACUUGCAAAGCCCAGCAUCUUCUUCGUAUGGCUCUA